GUGAGACAGGUGCUGCAUGGCUGUCGUCAGCUCGUGUUGUGAAAUGUUGGGUUAAGUCCCGCAACGAGCGCAACCCUUAUCCUUUGUUGCCAGCGGUCCGGCCGGGAACUCAAAGGAGACUGCCAGUGAUAAACUGGAGGAAGGUGGGGAUGACGUCAAGUCAUCAUGGCCCUUACGACCAGGGCUACACACGUGCUACAAUGGCGCAUACAAAGAGAAGCGACCUCGCGAGAGCAAGCGGACCUCAUAAAGUGCGUCGUAGUCCGGACUGGAGUCUGCAACUCGACUCCAUGAAGUCGGAAUCGCUAGUAAUCGUGGAUCAGAAUGCCACGGUGAAUACGUUCCCGGGCCUUGUACACACCGCCCGUCACACCAUGGGAGUGGGUUGCAAAAGAAGUAGGUAGCUUAACCUUCGGGAGGGCGCUUACCACUUUGUGAUUCAUGACUGGGGUGAAGUCGUAACAAGGUAACCGUAGGGGAACCUGCGGUUGGAUCACCUCCUUACCUGAAAGAA
rnacentral:rRNA from 1 species